UUGUCAGGUAGGAUAACCCUUACCUGUUCCUCCUUUUGGAGGGCAGAUUAGAACAUGAUGAUUGGAGUUUGCACGAGUGUUUAACAACGCUGCAUAAUCAGGACUUGUAACACCCUGAUUGGUCCUAUCUGAU
rnacentral:snoRNA from 1 species